NNNNNCGAUCAUACCAGCACUAAAGCACCGGAUCCCAUCAGAACUCCGAAGUUAAGCGUGCUUGGGCGAGAGUAGUACUAGGAUGGGUGACCUCCUGGGAAGUCCUCGUGUUGCAUUCC
rnacentral:rRNA from 1 species